AACGAACGCUGGCGGCAUGCCUAACACAUGCAAGUCGAACGAGACCUUCGGGUCUAGUGGCGCACGGGUGCGUAACGCGUGGGAACCUGCCCUUAGGUUCGGAAUAACUCCCCGAAAGGGGUGCUAAUACCGGAUAAUGUCUUCGGACCAAAGAUUUAUCGCCUUUGGAUGGGCCCGCGUUGGAUUAGCUAGUUGGUAGGGUAAAAGCCUACCAAGGCGACGAUCCAUAGCUGGUCUGAGAGGAUGAUCAGCCACACUGGGACUGAGACACGGCCCAGACUCCUGCGGGAGGCAGCAGUGGGGAGUAAUGGAAACUGGGCGAAAGCCUGAUCCAGCAAUGCCGCGUGAGUGAUGAAGGCCUUAGGGUUGUAAAGCUCUUUUACCCGGGAUGAUAAUGACAGUACCGGGAGAAUAAGCACCGGCUAACUCCGUG
rnacentral:rRNA from 1 species